UGGUUUAUUAAACAGCCAAGUCUGUUUAAGGUGUAAUUCCUCAGGAAGAGCAGUGUGCUUGUGGCCAUUUAAACGAGUUAACGGAGCGUGCCCGUCCAAGCCCGUGUGUGCUUUUCUCCAGGCACAAACCCCAGCUCGACCGGCGGGCGCCCGGGGCUGCAGUCGGCCGAGUCGCCUCAGCCCCGCAGCUCUGUGACCUCUGGCUCCUGCCCAUGUCACAUCCCUGUCCUCCGGGUGGAAACUGCAGAAGAAAGUGCAGGAUGCGCCUUGGUUUCGCUGACACCGCUCCAGCCGCGCUGGCUCCCGCACUGAAUCCUGGUAAAAUGCAGUAAAGGAUUUAAGGUUAUCAUCUGUCUCUCUCUAACUUCUGACAUCUCUUUAUAACAAGAAAGAGUCACAGCCAACUGUAACAGGAGGGCAACACAAUGAAUCCUGCUUCUCAGCCAGAAGAAUAUCCUGAAGCAAAUUACUGUCAGAAGCCAAAAAAAGUAUCCAUAAUUCAUCCUAACGCACUGUCAACUUAAUUUUAAAGUAAUUUUUCUGCUUUACGAGUUCUGGCUGAAGUGGUAAGUUUGCAAAUCCAUAAAUCAAACCAUAGGAAAUAAGGGAAAUACAUACCUCUGUUUAAAAUAUUCUGUUUUCCUACUUCAUUGUAAGCAUAGUUUUUUAUUAAUUAAAACUUCAGUCACUAAGAAGAGAAGAGACAAAAUUAUGGAUUGUAUUCUUUACAACUGUACACAUCUGUGUUGUGACUCCAGAGCCAUCUCUUGGGCUAUAGAGAGCUUUUUCAAGAUUUAUAAUAGAAGAAAUUAAUUUAGAUUGUGUAUUCCUGUGAGCACUCUGAGGAGCACAUGUGUACGUGUGUGAAUUAGGCUGAGCCUGUUGAAGUCUGUAAAGGGCACACCGUGCUGUGAUGUCUCCUGCAUUUGUCCUGGGGCCCUGUGCAGGUGUGCAGAUACUCACGAAAUGUCCUCAGUUUCCAAUUGUUUCCAAACUGACCUCACACAUCUCGAAUAACAGUGAGGCUGAUUCAAGUUCUUUAGCUUAAGAGACACAUUAGAGAGCAGGUGUGGAAGCCUUCUGUGGAGAAUCACUGAAAAUUUGGUGCAACCUGUGUCCCUGAGUGCAAGAACAGCAGCCUGGCUGCAAGUGUGAGCAUGGCCUUGUUUGUGCUCUUCUGCACACUGGGGGAAAAUUGUGCAGAAUUCCUUGUCCCAGGACUCAGUUUAUCAUCACAGAGGGAGUGGAGCCCCAGUGUGUGUUCCGGCUCAGAGCUGCCACCAGCAGCUACUGAAUAGCACGACGUUCUGAAUCUCGACACAUCAUGAAAAUCCUGCUUUAAUCAAAUGCUCCCGGGGGAGCAGGAAAUUCAAGAUGCACUUCCAGCCUGGGCUGGUGCACACCACUGGGUCAAUACUUGGCAUAAAGAGCUUUCUGCUUGUCGGUGCAGUGGAGGGGGGUCAGGGGACACUCGUAGCAAGCAAAACCAACAGGCAGCACAUGAGGUAACAUGACAGCAUAAGGGCAGCAAGAAAGAAGAGGCAAAGGUACGGGACUGAGUGGGGCCCUGUGGUGGCUGGAUUAGAAAGUGUUUUGCCUGUCAGCUUGAGCUGUUUAAUUAAGGAAUUUCACAGUAAUUUUGACUAAGCUUAACAAGCAACAAAUUCAGUGCUCUGGCUCACUAAAUUCUUUCUUGCAGUCUAAAUAAGCUGCAGAUCUCAGAGCUGGAGGAAUUCAGUGCCUUAACAGCACUUUCUCUCCAGCCUGCACUGUAGGUGCUGUAUGAGAACAUGGAGCUGCACGUCACAGUACAUUUUUACCAUGGGUUAAGGGAAACUGUUCUAACACUCCCAGCUUCUGCUGGCCAGUCAUUCUCUCUUUGUAAUUAGCAUGAAGACUACCCUUCAGUCAAAACUAGCCACCUGGAAAGUUUCAGCUUGUAAUAUGCAGCUUUUUUUUUUUUUUUUUGUGAAUUAUGAAUGUGCAAAAAAGAGACCUUUCUCCUUACACCCACUUCCUUGCAUAAUUCAAAUGUGAAUGAAUGAAUUUUAUUCAGGCUUGCCAAAAAAAAAUAUAUUUCAGCUGAUAACAAGCAUGAAAAAUUUCAGAUGAAAGGGAUUUUUUUUUAAAAAAAGAAUAUUCUGAGCAUGGGAGAACAGCAGGUUAAGACAGAAGUUUCUGUGCAGCCUUAACUGUAACAAUUGCUAUCAAGCAAAUACCAUAUCCAAGCACUAAAUCUUGCUUUGUGCUGCCCUAGUGCACAGUAGCAGGGACAGAGUAGAAUAAUAAAAUCUGAUCCCCUUAUGCAAACAGCAGGGCACAGCACUUGAGAGAAUACAAGGAGAAGGUGAGCCUGCCUACUGUUGUGGCUUGCUAACCAUAUUCCCAAGGUCUGUGGGUUAGUUGUCUCCUCUAGCUCCAGUCAGAUAGCAAAAGGAAUUUCAAACACUAGCAAAGGGAAUGUUUUGCUCCUUUCCAGAAGAACUCUUUACUAAUUCCUUGCCUCCAAAUGUACUGUUCUAUUAAAUAAAGUAUUUGAAGGAAUUCUUAUAAGCAACAUUACGGUUUAAUGGGUCAAAAAGGGAAUGGAAUCAGUGCCAGGCAUUUUUGUGAUUAACUGUAUUUUAAAAAUAUGUAUCUGUGAAGAAGGUAUUAUCUGUGCAAAGCAGAAUGAGAUUUGGGCUCAUGCCAGUACCACUUUGAAAAUAAACUAUCACAGUGAAGAAAUGUUACCAUCUGGAACAUUUCUGCAUCAGAUUUUCUCUUGUCCCUAAUAAUGCCUUGGUGAUAAGUCCAGCUCUCCUUUUCUACUCAGAAAACAGGAUUAAAACUCCCAUUCAUUUACUAUGUGUUUGUUAAAAAAAUGCCCAUUACAGUGGCUAAACAGCAGUGAAUACUAAAGUAUUACCUUUCAGAUUCACAGUUCCACAUUGAUUAGAGGAUCAACAGACAGGAUUUGCAAAUGGCAAGCCUGGGCAUAAAAAUCCCCUUCCAGUCUGACGUGAGUUGACUGUUGCAAGUUGAGCUUGGCAGCAAUGACCAAAAUUGAGUUGUCAGCAUCCUCCUGCAUAGUGGAAGAAGUUGUUGCUUUCUCGUGCAGAUGCAAGAGUUUCUGUGGGAAAACAGAACAUAAUCAUGGUUCUGAAUGUCUCUGUGGAUUGGUAAUGUCUCUAAUACAUAGAUCACUUGUGCAAAUUCAGUCCCAGCUGGAUGGGAAAUUAUUGAAAAUGGUUGUUGCUUGAUUGAUAUAAAAUGAGUUGUCAGCUUGAUUCAAUGCCUUCAGGGCAGAUGUCCACAGCAUAAUUGGCACCUGUCAGAAACAAAGAAUUCCUUGGUACAGAGUAACAGCUACUCAUGCAACCACCCAGAACAGUCCUUGCAUGCCAGGGCUCAGAGAAGAAGGCAGAAAAAAAAAAUACUUCUGGGCAGGAUCUUUUAUGCCAUAAAGUCAAUAAGAGAUUUGAUGUGACACUUGGUGCUAGCUUUUCCCUGGGAUCCUGGCUGCACACGAUCAGCUUUUCUGCUGUUUGGUCAACACUUUCCCUAAGAAUUAGAAGAAAACUCACACAUUUGGUUACUUGCUAUUAUUGUCAUGGUGAAGGUGGGUUUAUAAAGACCAGUUAAUAAAGAAAUGUUUACAUGUUUGCUCAUUAUAAAAAUGCUGUGAAUAAUUUUAUUUUUAUAUUUCUUGAGAAAUUCUCCUCACAACAAUACAACUAAAGAAAAAAGAGAGUGUCCUCUCAGCAAAAAAUAAGGCAAAGAAACAGCCAGGACUGACAGUACAGCAGUGUCAGUAUCACACUGUUUGCUAAUAGUAAACAGUGAUCUAUUGUUUACCACAGAGUAGAUUAAAAUGGAUUUUUUCCUAUAAGUCGCUAAAUAGCUGUCAUAUGGUUAUUACUGCCUUUGACCAAGUGUGGUACAGCUAACAACAGGAAUGAAUUCUAACAACAGUGAUGAAUUCCCAUCACCAAUCUGUCGAGCUGGCCACCUUCUUCAUGGGGCUGGUGCUUUGGGAGGUACUAGCUGAAGGACUUUCCAUUAAAACUCAUUUUACUGUGUUCAUCUAGUGCAUGGCUCAACUUUCCUUCUCUCCUUUCAUCUCUGUUUCCUCCCUCAGAUUAUUUUUCAUUAUGCCUCCCCCCCCAGCAUACCCACACUUUGCCUUUCAUCUCUCUAUGUAUGCUAUUCCAGCACUUGUCAGGCCCAGCAGGAGGCACAUGGGAGAACCAAACAAUAUGAUAUGUUAGGUGGAAGAAAAUAUUAGAACAAUCAUUUAUUGUCACACUUUAAAGAGGUCUGCUAUGUUAUUUAUUUUAUUAUUCUGUAUUAGGUACAUGGUUUAGUUUUACAGGCAUUAUUAAUCACUGAAAUACAUUACACUUUCAGCCAGGACGUUAACAUUUUAAAUGCAUUCAUCUUGCUUCUUUAAACAGAAACAAUGGGUCUUUUGCACUGCCUUCCCUCCUCUUUAGUCAAUAAAUCCUUUCUAUUGAUUCAGGAAAUAACUCUUAAACCCUGUUUUAUAUUUUAAGUUCCACUAGCUACCCUUAGCCAUAUAAUUUUGCUCAGUAACAAAUGGAUCUUCUAUUUUUGCUGUUUACUAUGUGUUUGGUUAUCAAACUCAGCUUGAAAAUAUUGGGUAGAAGAGGACAAAAACUGUAAUGGCAGUGAGCCACCAUGAGAGAUUUCCUAAAUGAAUGUUGCAAUAAAAUAAAGUAUCUGUAAAAAGUGUAUGUGUGUGUGUAUAAAAAGCGAUCUCAUCAGUAGAUGAAUGAUAAAUGAAAAAAUCCAUCAGUGAGUAUGGAUUCCCUUGAGCCAGCCUGGAUCAACAGACAAUAUGGAUUUUUGAUAAUUCAUGGCUUUGCCAUUAUUUAUUCUCUCCUGAAAUACCCAUUGCAAAUCUCAGAAAGAUAAUUAGAGAAUUAUCAUAUUGCUUAACUAAGUAGUGCAAAUUGUAUUAGAUUCUAUGUAUCCCAAUCCUGGGCAGAAUCAUUAGUGUUGUUUAAUUGUUACAAAUAUAGUCAUCAUUUUAAUAAAUUGCCUUCAUUGUCAAUAUCCACAAUUGACUACUUCCCUUAAUGUUGGUGGAUAGGUUAGUUACCAGGUAAUCUUACAGUUAAGAUAUACCACAAUGAAGCAAAAAUGUAAGAAAAUGCAAAGGUCAAAACCAUGUUUCUAUUAUGAAAAAAAUGAAUGAUAAUGACAUAAUUUUUUCAGCUCAUCAGGUUCUUUG